UACGGGGGGGGCAAGCGUUGUUCGGAAUUACUGGGCGUAAAGGGCUCGUAGGUGGCCAACUAAGUCGGACGUGAAAUCCCUCAGCUUAACUGGGGAACUGCGUCCGAUACUGGAUGGCUUGAGUUUGGGAGAGGGAUGCGGAAUUCCAGGUGUAGCGGUGAAAUGCGUAGAUAUCUGGAGGAACACCUGUGGCGAAAGCGGCACACUGGACCACAACUGACGCUGAGGCGCGAAAGCUAGGGGAGCAAACAGG
rnacentral:rRNA from 1 species